rnacentral:rRNA from 1 species
AGUCGUACCAAGGUUUCCGUAGGUGAACCUGCGGAAGGAUCAUUACAGUAUGAAUAGAAGGUUUUGCUGCUGGCCUUACACCAAGGCAUGUGCGCACCUUCAAAUUUCUAAUCCACAUACACCUGUGAACCUUAGACGUAGAUUGGACUCCCGGCUUCUAUUUGGAGCCGUGAGCGGUUUCUAGGAGGUUUUUCCUUCAAAGAGACUGAGUCUGACUCGUCUACUUUAACAUAUACCCUAAACAAGUUUUAAAUGCAUGUCUUUUUAAUGGGCUCUAUGGAGCUUAUAAACAUUAAUACAACUUUCAACAACGGAUCUCUUGGCUUCCACAUCGAUGAAGAACGCAGCGAACGUGCGAAACGUAAUGUGAAUUGCAGAAUUCAGUGAAUCAUCGAGUCUUUGAACGCAUCUUGCACUCCUUGGUAUUCCGAGGAGUAUGCCUGUUUGAGUGUCGUGAAUACUCUCAAGCUUGACCUUUUUUUUAUUAAGAAGGUCAUAGUUUGGAUUUGGAUGUUGCUGCGGUUGUACUUAUACUAUCGCGGCUCGUCUCGAAAUGUAUUAGCUGGUCCACCGCGGUCUAUUAUAAAACUCUAUGGUGUGAUAAGAACACAAAUUCUUUGUAGCGCUAUAGUGAAUAGACCAUGGGAUGUGAUUGCUUCUAAUAGUCCAUUGACUUGGACAAUAUCACUUUGUUAUCUGACCUCAAAUCAGGUAGGACUACCCGCUGAACUUAACAUAUCCA